CGCGAAGAACCUUACCAAAUCUUGACAUCCUUUGACCGCUCUAGAGAUAGAGUUUUCCUCUUCGGAGGACAAAGUGACAGGUGGUGCAUGGUUGUCGUCAGCUCGUGUCGUGAGAUGUUGGGUUAAGUCCCGCAACGAGCGCAACCCUUGAACUUAGUUGCCAUCAUUCAGUUGGGCACUCUAAGUUGACUGCCGGUGACAAACCGGAGGAAGGUGGGGAUGACGUCAAAUCAUCAUGCCCCUUAUGAUUUGGGCUACACACGUGCUACAAUGGACAAUACAAAGGGCAGCGAAACCGCGAGGUCAAGCAAAUCCCAUAAAGUUGUUCUCAGUUCGGAUUGUAGUCUGCAACUCGACUACAUGAAGCUGGAAUCGCUAGUAAUCGUAGAUCAGCAUGCUACGGUGAAUACGUUCCCGGGUCUUGUACACACCGCCCGUCACACCACGAGAGUUUGUAACACCCGAAGCCGGU
rnacentral:rRNA from 1 species